rnacentral:rRNA from 1 species
UGGCGAAUGGGUGAGUAACACGUAGGAACCUGCCAUCCAGUGGGGAAUAACCCCGCGAAAGCGGGGCUAAUACCGCAUGCGAGUACCGGAAACGGUGGGGAAAGCUGUCGAAAGAUGGCGCUGGAUGAGGGACCUGCGGCCCAUCAGCUAGAUGGUGGGGUAACGGCCUACCAUGGCGACGACGGGUAGGGGGCCUGAGAGGGUGGUCCCCCACAUUGGCACUGACACACGGGCCAA